rnacentral:rRNA from 1 species
AUUGAACGCUGGCGGCAGGCUUAACACAUGCAAGUCGAGCGAGCGGCGGACGGGUGAGUAAUGUCUGGGAAACUGCCUGAUGGAGGGGGAUAACUACUGGAAACGGUAGCUAAUACCGCAUACCAUCGGAUGUGCCCCGAUGGGAUUGGCUGGUGGGUGGGGUAAUGGCUCACCUAGGCGGCGAUCCCUAGCUGGUCUGAGAGGAUGACCGGCGACACUGGAACGGGGACACGGUCCAGACGCCUACGGCAGGCAGCAGUGGGGAAGAUUGCACAAUGGGCGCAAGCAUGAUGCAGCUAUGCCGCGUGUGUGAAGAAGGCCUUGGGGUUGUAAAGCACUUUCAGCGAGGAGGCGUUACUCGCAGAAGAAGCACCGGCUAACUCCGUGCCAGCAGCCGCGGUAAUUC